GGAAGGGAUGUAUUUAUUAGAUAAAAAAUCAAUGCCUUCGGGCUCUUUGAUGAUUCAUAAUAACUUUUCGAAUCGCAUGGCCUUGUGCUGGCGAUGGUUCAUUCAAAUUUCUGCCCUAUCAACUAACGAUGGUAGGAUAGUGGCCUACCAUGGUUUCAACGGGUAACGGGGAAUAAGGGUUCGAUUCCGGAGAGGGAGCCUGAGAAACGGCUACCACAUCCAAGGAAGGCAGCAGGCGCGCCCAUUACCCAAUCCCGACACGGGGAGGUAGUGACAAUAAAUAACGAUACAGGGCCCUUUUGGGUCUUGUAAUUGGAAUGAGUACAAUGUAAAUACCGGAACGAGGAACAAUUGGAGAACAAGUCUGGUGCCAGCAGCCGCGGUAAUUCCAGCUCCAAAAGCGUAUAGGAAAGUUGUUGCAGUUAAAAAGCUCGUAGUUGAACCUUGGGCUUGGCUGGCCGGUCCAUCUUUUUGAUGCGUAUGGACCCAGCCGAGCCUUUCUUCUGGCUAGCCAUUUAUGGCGAACCAGGACUUUUAC
rnacentral:rRNA from 1 species